rnacentral:lncRNA from 1 species
UUUGCCAACUCCCAAAAUCUCUUUAAACUGUUGGCAGAUAUCCUCUAUCCGUACAAUCAGAUUAAAACAACCAUGCAUGCAUUCAGCAUACUCAACCUUCUAGACAACUCUGAAUUUCAACCACAGAAGUAUCUCCCAUUCCAUCAACAAUCAAGAGUACCAGCCUUUUCUCUCUUACGUAAAAUCCAGUUCACCAAUACAACAUUGACUUUCAGUAAUGAUUGCUUCAGUCUUCCCAAAAUCCUAUGAAGAAAAAAAAACCCCAAUUCUCUGUCUUUUUCCGAAGCAUGAAGCUAGCUCUCUGACCCUUAAAACCCUGAUUCUCCCUUCUUCAUUUCUUAACCUA